GAUGAACGCUAGCGACAGGCUUAACACAUGCAAGUCGAGGGGCAGCACGGUGUAGCAAUACAUUGGUGGCGACCGGCGCACGGGUGAGUAACGCGUAUGCAACCUACCUAUCAGGAGGGGAAUAACCCGGCGAAAGUCGGACUAAUACCGCAUAAAACAGGGGUUCCGCAUGGAAAUAUUUGUUAAAGAAUUAUCGCUGAAAGAUGGCCUCGCGUCUGAUUAGCUAGUUGGUGAGGUAACGGCCCACCAAGGCGACGAUCAGUAGCCGGACUGAGAGGUUGACCGGCCACAUUGGGACUGAGAUACGGCCCAGACUCCUACGGGAGGCAGCAGUGGGGAAUAUUGGGCAAUGGGCGCAAGCCUGACCCAGCAACGCCGCGUGAAGGAAGAAGGCUUUCGGGUUGUAAACUUCUUUUAAGUGGGAAGAGUAGAAGACGGUACCACUUGAAUAAGCCACGGCUAACUACGUG
rnacentral:rRNA from 1 species